GAUGAACGCUGGCGGCGUGCCUAAUACAUGCAAGUCGAGCGAACGGACGAGAAGCUUGCUUCUCUGAUGUUAGCGGCGGACGGGUGAGUAACACGUGGAUAACCUACCUAUAAGACUGGGAUAACUUCGGGAAACCGGAGCUAAUACCGGAUAAUAUUUUGAACCGCAUGGUUCAAAAGUGAAAGACGGUCUUGCUGUCACUUAUAGAUGGAUCCGCGCUGCAUUAGCUAGUUGGUAAGGUAACGGCUUACCAAGGCAACGAUGCAUAGCCGACCUGAGAGGGUGAUCGGCCACACUGGAACUGAGACACGGUCCAGACUCCUACGGGAGGCAGCAGUAGGGAAUCUUCCGCAAUGGGCGAAAGCCUGACGGAGCAACGCCGCGUGAGUGAUGAAGGUCUGCGGAUCGUAAAACUCUGUUAUUAGGGAAGAACAUAUGUGUAGUAACUGUGCACAUCUUGACGGUACCUAAUCAGAAAGCCACGGCUAACUACGUG
rnacentral:rRNA from 1 species